rnacentral:rRNA from 1 species
AGUGAACGCUGGCGGUAGGCCUAACACAUGCAAGUCGAACGGCAGCACAGAGGAGCUUGCUCCUUGGGUGGCGAGUGGCGGACGGGUGAGGAAUACAUCGGAAUCUACUCUGUCGUGGGGGAUAACGUAGGGAAACUUACGCUAAUACCGCAUACGACCUACGGGUGAAGGCAGGGGACCUUCGGGCCUUGCGCGAUUGAAUGAGCCGAUGUCGGAUUAGCUAGUUGGCGGGGUAAAGGCCCACCAAGGCGACGAUCCGUAGCUGGUCUGAGAGGAUGAUAAGUCACACUGGAAUGGAGACACGGUCCAGACCCCUACGGGAGGCAGCAGUGGGGAAUAUUGGACAAUGGGCGCAAGCCUGAUCCAGCCAUACCGCGUGGGUGAAGAAGGCCUUCGGGUUGUAAAGCCCUUUUGUUGGGAAAGAAAUCCAGCUGGCUAAUACCCGGUUGGGAUGACGGUACCCAAAGAAUAAGCACCGGCUAACUUCGUGCCAGCCGCCGCCGUAA